rnacentral:lncRNA from 1 species
GUCCUGCUAAAUGUCUGGGAAGACAGCAAAAAGAAAAAGCAUAUGUCCUGUCCAUUCUUCCCACUCCAAAAGAGAUAGGCCUGUGUUUUUUUCUUUAUGUUGGGAUAAAAUAAACACAAAUCAAGUUUCUAGCCUGCGACUUUACACCACAAAGAACUUCAUCACUGUGAAUCUGAGUGUGAACUGCUGAGUGUGGCUGGCAUCCCCAUCACUGGGAUGGGGAUGGGGCCACCAAGUUCAUGUGGCCCUAUAGAGGAUGGAUGCCUGCUGCAGUGGAGAUGAGCAAUGGAUGUCACUGUGGACGAGAGCUUCAGACUGUCAUCUUGUUACAGCUCUUUCUAAUGAUGUGACCCCAGCUCAAAUCCUUGGCCUGCAGCAUGCAACCAAGACCAGGGCAGCUUGUGACUCCUCUUGGCCGUGGAGCUCGGAGCCCUUGAUGGUGAAAUCUGAGGAUGGAGCCCCAGAGGUAACCUCGCCUUGUGUGGUAACCGUGACCAACAGGUGGCCAAAGCUGCUGGAGCACCCUCAUGUCAUGCAUCCACCAAGGAGCCACAUCGUGGUGCAGUGGCUUGGCACGGUGAAGGACAAUAUCAAGAGCUGUUGGCCACCAGGAUGGGGAGAAAGAAAAGGUGCCCUUCUUCACAAAAUGGAGCGUGUUGCAACUGCCUGCAGAGCUGGCUUACACAGUGAUGGGGGCGUACUUACAUUACCAAACAUCGUGAUGACAAGCAUCUUGGGAUCUUCCAAGGCAGUAUUGUUAAGUAAAUCAACAAGCGGCUUAAUGCUCAACAUGUGAAGGUGAGCGAAUGACGUUCAAGCAGGAGGACUGGGUAGGGCUCUGAGGAGUAUCCAAAGAAUCUGAAAUAAAAGGCUUUGAAGAAAAAUGUCAGAGGUCAUGGAAACCAACUCUGAACACAUGCCUACCUCGUUUCCUAAAGACCCAAAAUCUAUAAUGAGUGGGCCAGAUUCUCAGCUCGUGCAACUGGUGGAGCUCCACUGCCUGCAGGAAAGGACACAGGAACUGGUCACUGUGGGCUUCUUGCCAUCCAAAUUAACUGCUGCACAUCUGGCGUGGAGGAGCUUCAGCCCUUUCUGCCAUUCUACUGCUGCGAUACCUCUGCCAUCCCGUCUGCUUCGACAGGCCCACCGAGGGCUACCGAAGCAAAAGGACCGAGACAAAGUGUUCGAGUUCGAAAUGUCUGUGGUUUUGGAUAACGCCCGCUGUGAAAAAUCCAGGGAGUGGUUAACUGAAGGCUACACUGUAGGUGGCUUCUUUGAAAAAGUGCCUCUGCACACACUUAGCCAUCCCUCCAUCCUCUGUACGUGCCAAGCUCCACAUGUGCUGGGCGUGCGUUUCAGACCUGCCUUGGCACCAUGGUGGGACUGCUCGCUCUGGGGCAGUCAGUGUGAUCUCACCCUGGACACAGUCAUUUUCCUCCUGCUGGAAAAAGAACGCCUGGGCUAUUAG